GUGGUUCAGUGGUAGACUUCUUGCCUUCCAUGUGGGAGAUCCAGGUUCAAAUCCUGGC
rnacentral:tRNA from 1 species